GACGAACGCUGGCGGCGUGCUUAACACAUGCAAGUCGAACGGAAAGGCCCUGCUUUUGUGGGGUGCUCGAGUGGCGAACGGGUGAGUAACACGUGAGUAACCUGCCCUUGACUUUGGGAUAACUUCAGGAACUGGGGCUAAUACCGGAAAGGAGCUUCUGCUGCCUGGUGGGGGUUGGAAAGUUUCGGCGGUUGGGGAUGGACUCGCGGCUUAUCAGCUUGUUGGUGGGGUAGUGGCUUACCAAGGCUUUGACGGGUAGCCGGCCUGAGAGGGUGACCGGCCACAUUGGGACUGAGAUACGGCCCAGACUCCUACGGGAGGCAGCAGUGGGGAAUAUUGCACAAUGGGCGGAAGCCUGAUGCAGCAACGCCGCGUGCGGGAUGACGGCCUUCGGGUUGUAAACCGCUUUCGCCUGUGACGAAGCGUGAGUGACGGUAAUGGGUAAAGAAGCACCGGCUAACUACGUG
rnacentral:rRNA from 1 species